UACGGGGGGGGCAAGCGUUGUUCGGAAUUACUGGGCGUAAAGGGCUCGUAGGCGGCCAACUAAGUCAUACGUGAAAUCCCUCGGCUUAACCGGGGAACUGCGUCUGAUACUGGAUGGCUUGAGAUUGGGAGAGGGAUGUGGAAUUCCAGGUGUAGCGGUGAAAUGCGUAGAUAUCUGGAGGAACACCGGUGGCGAAGGCGGCAUCCUGGACCGGUAUUGACGCUGAGGCGCGAAAGCCAGGGGAGCAAACGGG
rnacentral:rRNA from 1 species